rnacentral:SRP_RNA from 1 species
GCUGGGUGCGGUGGCGUGUGCCUGUUGUCCCAGCUGCUCGGGAAGCUGAGGUGGGAGGAUUGCUUGAGCCCAGGAGUUCUGGGCUGUAGUGUGCCAUCCCGAUCGGGUGUCCACACUAAGUUCAGCAUCAAUAUGGUGACCUCCUGGGAACGGGGGACCACCAGGUUGCCUAAGGAGGGGUGAAUCGGCCCAGGUCAGAAACGGAGCAGGUCAAAACUCCCACGCUGAUCAGUAAUGGUAUCGUGCCUGUGAAUAGCCACUGCACUCCAGCCUGGGCAACAUAGCGAGACCCCGUCUCU